rnacentral:rRNA from 1 species
GUGAGGAAUAUUGGACAAUGGGCGCAAGCCUGAUCCAGCCAUGCCGCGUGCAGGAAGACGCAUCUAUGGUGUGUAAACUGCUUUUGUACGGGAAGAAACACUCCCUCGUGAGGGAGCUUGACGGUACCGUAAGAAUAAGGAUCGGCUAACUCCGUGCCAGCAGCCGCGGUAAUACGGAGGAUCCAAGCGUUAUCCGGAAUCAUUGGGUUUAAAGGGUCCGUAGGCGGUUUAAUAAGUCAGUGGUGAAAGCCCAUCGCUCAACGAUGGAACGGCCAUUGAUACUGUUAGACUGGAAUUACAAGGAAGUAACUAGAAUAUGUAGUGUAGCGGUGAAAUGCUUAGAUAUUACAUGGAAUACCAAUUGCGAAGGCAGGUUACUACUUGUGGAUUGACGCUGAUGGACGAAAGCGUGGGGAGCGAACAGGAUUAGAAACCCCGGUAGUCC